GGAAGUUACGCCCUGGAGGCGGUCCCUGGGUAGUGGAGGGCGUCGCGAUGGGCGGGGCGGAGCGUCUGUGGUCCUCCUGGAACCUUGCAUCUCGGGCAGUUUUGCAGAACACUGAUAUCUAUGGACCCUAGCAUGGACUUCAUUUUAAAGAAAUCCACGGACCAUUAAUGGACAAAAACAUGAAUCAGUUUAUGUUGUGGCAUUCAAAUCCUAGCACUUUGGGAAAGCAUCAAGUACAAGUUUUUGAAGACCCUGGGGCCUACCAUCAUUAUGCAUUCAAGAUUUGAGUUUGAAUAACUUCAUCAAGACUUAGAUCCUCUUCAAAAGCCUCAAGUCUCAUCUGCAUUAAAGCUCUCCAUUGAACCCUCUCACAAAAGUAAAAGCUUACAGGGACUAAAAUCCACUAAUACAUUCCAUUUUAUAUCCUUUCCUCUGAUUUCUCUUCAAUUUCUUUGGCCUUUAGAGUCUUUCAUAUUGCUUAUGUUUCUUUAGAUUGGAGCCAAGGUAACAGUGCCUUCCAAAAGAAUAGAUGUCCUGUGGCCCUAAAUUUUCAUCGGUAGAGAAGCAUAAACUUGGUAUAAGUUUACAAUCAGGUCUUUUGUUGUAUCCUACAAAAACUUGAGUCAACAAUAAGAAAUGAGAAUGAAGUGGUAAAAAUAUUUGAGGUCAGAUUAUACCGUCAGUGGUUUAGAGAGAAGAGCCCUCCACCUAAAAGUUAAUGGUUCUUAUUAUCUGCCUGGGAAAGUCACAUAACCUCUCUGGACCUUAAUUUCAUCUGUAAAGUAAAUCUGAUAUUAUUUCCCCUGCCUACCUCACAGGGUUGUUGUGAGGGUAACAUGAAAUAAUAUAUAUAAAAAGGACUUCUAUAUAAAAUGUGCAGUAUAGACAGAGUCCUGUUACAAGUCAUUCCCUCAGCUCUUGGGCCUGGGAAGGUGGAUGAUUUAAGCACACUGAAAGCAAGCACCAUGUCCAGGCUGGAUACAUGGGAACCAGGAGGCUGCGUUAAUUUUUGGUUUCUUUGAGUACACAGAGUACUUUUGUGGGCCAAUUCUAAGAAGGAGGAAGACUAUACAUUUCCCUAAAAUUUUAAGUUAGCAUUUAUAAUGCUCUAGAGCAAUUAUAUGCUGUAAUUGUAUUCGUGGCUUGCAACCUUUGUUUACAAGUAGUGACCAGCAUUUUUUUUUUUUAAUGGAGGAGCAUAGAGCAGAACAUUUCACACUGCAUCCCACCCGGUAAGAGUAAGUAUGUUCCCAUUGUAUCUAUGUGUGAAUGUGUGUGUGUUUGUGUUUGUGUACUUGGUCAUUAAAUAAAAUGCAUUUUUUUCCCUAUGAGUUGCA